rnacentral:rRNA from 1 species
AUUGAACGCUGGCGGCGUGCCUAACACAUGCAAGUCGAGCGGUAACAGGUGUAGCAAUACAUGCUGACGAGCGGCGAACGGGUGAGUAAUGCUUCGGAAUCUGCCCAUGUAGUGGGGAAUAACCAGCCGAAAGGUUGGCUAAUACCGCAUACGACCUACGGGUGAAAGCAGGGGAUCGCAAGACCUUGCGCUAUUGGAUGAGCCGAAGUCGGAUUAGCUUGUUGGUAGGGUAACGGCCUACCAAGGCGACGAUCCGUAGCUGGUCUGAGAGGACGACCAGCCACACUGGGACUGAGACACGGCCCAGACUCCUACGGGAGGCAGCAGUGGGGAAUAUUGGACAAUGGGGCAACCCUGAUCAGCGACGCCGCGUGUGUGAAGAAGGCCUGGC